rfam:Triticum urartu cultivar G1812 contig821719, whole genome shotgun sequence.
AGGAGUAUAGUUUAAUUGGCAAAACAAUGAGCUUCAACCUUAAAAUUCUUGGUUCGAGUCUGAGUAUUCCUG